UUUUUUUUUUCUUUUUUCUUUUUAUGGCCACACCUGUGCCAUAUAGAGGUUCCCAGGCUAGGGGUUGAAUCAGAGCUACAGCUGCAGACCAAUGCCACAGCCACAGCAAUGUGGGAUCCAAGCUGCAUCUGCGACCUCUACCACAGCUCAUGGCAAUGCCAGAUCCUUAAUCCACUGAGUGACGCCAGAGACUGAACCUGCAUCCUCACAGACACUAUGUCAAGUUCUUAACCCUCUGAGCCAUUAUAUGAAUGCCUUGUUUAUUUAUUUAUUUAUUUAUUUAUUUACUGUCAACCCUACACCAAUGACAAAUCUUACAGAAUUCAUGAAAAAAUUGCUUCUUCCACACACCUCUAUUUGAAGGAAAGUGGUCCCGGCUGGCAGAUUCUCUUCAACGACAACAGUAUAUGUUGAGUUGGUGAACACAGGGCUAUUAUCAUCAAUAUCCAGAACCUUGAUGGCCAGUGUUAGAGUUGAAUGACGAGGGUGCACUGCUCCAUCAGUUGCCACAACAACAAGUUCAUAGUAGUCCCUGACUUCUCUGUUAAGCUUCACAGCUGUGUAAAUGCUUCCAUUGGAUGUGAUUCGAAAAAGAUUAUUGAAGUUACCCAAACUGUAGUGGACUUGACCAUUUAUCCCAGCAUCAGGGUCGGUUGCCUAAGUAAAAUUAAUAACAAAGGAAAUCACAUAGUACCAAAUUUUUUUCCUGAGGGAGAAAAUUAAAAAGAUAAAUGACAAUGUAGUACAAAAGUCUAGAGCAUGAAAAGAAAUACACUAUAGUUUAAUUGAUAUUCUUCAUUCAAAAUGAGCAUAACAUAAAUUGAUGUCAAUAGCAAUAAAAAUAUUAUGACAUAAAACAUGUUAAAAAUGUUGAAUUUUUUUCUGUAUUAUAAUUUCUUUCAUAGAUUUUGAAUUUUAAAAUUAAAAAAACACAUUUAGUUUUUAAUUAAACAUAACCUACUAAGUGGGAACUUAAGAUACCAUAGCUUUUUUAAAUUCAAGCACUUUAUAUAUUCACAUACAUAUUUAUGCACAUACAUACACACAUAUAUAAAUAAAGCUGCAUUUAAUUCUCAUGAUGUUUUUAUGAAUAAAAUUUAAAAUAUCAUUGGUCUCAUUUUCUCAUUACAAAUGAGAAAACUGUGGCUUAAUGGAUUUUAAUUAUCUUGCUUAUGGUUACACAAGAAAUAAAUAUCUCAGUGCCCCAGUCCUUAAGGCAAUUCCUCACAUAUAAAACUACUUUAUAAAUAUAUGUGGAAUUAAUAAAUUAAUGCAUGGAAUUGAGAUUUAAAAGUAAAUACCCCAAAACCCAAAUACAAGUAUUGCAUCUGUAGAAAAAAGGUUCUUCUUUAAUAUUAUAAUACAAUUUUCAAAUAACUGAGAAUUGUUGAUGCUAUAAUAAACCCAUUGUAACUGAAAAUUUUAAGUCAUAUUAAAUCACUUUGCAUCAAAUGAGUAAAUUUGAGUGAAUAUUCUGAUGGAGUGUUACGAGAAUUAAUAUUAUCUAAAACUCAAUUAAUUGGGAUAUAAAUUUUGACAGCUCAUUUUCAAAUGCUAUGCAUUUGUGUUAGAGUUCUAUGCUAUUGUUCCUUAAAGAAAUUGGAAUAAAUCUUAGAAGCCAUAAAAUAUUAUAUAAUUAUGCUCCAAACUGUCACUAAGGAAGGAAAACAAGACACUUGGCUGCAUUAUGAGCCAGGGACACAAUAAUCCCUUAAUAUCCUUAAAAAAUGCCUGGAAUGCUAUAUGAUAUACUCUGAUUCACAUAUGCAGAUGUAUAGCCACCUUUACAAGCCCUGGGAAGCAUGUGGGGUUGGUUUGCUGAAUGCUUGUGCAUUGUUUGAAAUGAUAAAGCCCAUGAUGUGAAAGUUGUGUGUCUAACUGUGCUCCUUCUGAAUGUCAUAAUGCCAGACAUUCCAGCAGGAGGUGUCCCUUUGAUGCAUCAAAACACAAAUGUUCUGGGAGGGUUUUACUUCUUGAGGUUUAAACCUGAGCAAAGAUAGAAGAAAUGUAGGAGUUCUGAAGAGGACAAAAAUACUAUUAAAAAGAUGAAGUUUCCAUAGACAUAUUUUCCUCUGCUUUUACAUUUCAUCUAGAAUUUGUCUUACAAAUUAUUGACAUUGGUCAAGCUAGUCAUCUUACUGGGAAAAAACCAAACAAACAACAAUAUUGCCACCUUCUCUAUAAACAACCAACCAAACCAAAAAAUAUUAUGUUUUGUCUUAAAUCACUGCUUAAAUAGAAAAAUAUAAUCCAUUAAGUGGGUCUUGUUUUAUUACACAAACACUUAAAGUUUCAAUGACUUUUUCUGUCUGUGGGGAUUCACAGACACAAGAUCACAAACUCAAUCAUUUAUAUAGUCAGUAAUUGAAAGGACUCUUGCUCAAGGUAUGUUUUUAUUUAUCCCCAUAUUAGAAGACUUAUUUUAACAGAAUGAUUCAAUUUAAUUAAUAUAGUUGUGUAUGUAUAUGUUUGUAGGAGGAAGGGAUGUUACGUGUGUAUUUUUCUAUUUCUGUCUAGUUACUUAACUGAUAACCCUCUUAGGAUGCCUAAUGCAUAUCUAUAUGAGUUUUCUAUUGCUGCUAUAAUAAAUUACCAUAAAUUUACUCACUUAACACAUCACAAAUUUAUUAUUUUAUAGCUUUAUAAAUCAGAAGUUUAACAUGGGUCUCAUCUGGCUAAAAUCAAGGUAAAGGUAGGGCUAUGUUCCUUUCUGGAGGCUGUAGGAAAUAAUUUAAUUCCUUUUUCAUUUGAAUUAUGGACAGGAUACAGUUCUUUCAGGUUGUAUGAUUGAGAUAUCCACUUCCUUUUUACUUGUCAUGGAAGGAUUAUACCAAACUUCUAAAGGCCACCCACAUACCUUGGCUCAUGGCACACUUCUUUUAUUCUCAAAGCUAGGAAUGGUGGGUUGAGUCUUUCUCAUACUUUUGAAUAUAUACUCCUUCUUUUAUCUCAUCUUUUUGAUCUACUCUUCUACCAUCCUCUUCCACUAUUAAGGGCUUAUAUGGGGACAAUGGACCCACCUGGAAGGUCCAGGAUAAUAUUUCCAUCUCAAGGUCCUUAACCUUAUCCAUCUACAAAGUUUCCUGCACUAUAUAAGGUAUCAUAUUCACCUGUGGGACAUAUUUGGGGGUCUUAAUUCUGUCUACCAUAGAAUCAGAAGCUAAACAUAUCCCUAAUUGAACUCUCGAUUAUAUCUAUGUCAAGUCUUUUUCAUCUCCAAUUCCUCUAUUUUGGUAAAUAGUUUUUCCAUCAACCCAAUAUACUACAUAAGAAAUAAAGGUGUUCCUGAGAUCUCCUUAUAUCCUUUACAUUAUUAAUUAUUUAUUCAAUAAUUUCAUAAAGGUUCAUUUAAUACUCACUAUGUCUGUUUAAUAUUCCUAGCUGUGAGAUACAUUGGGGUAUUAGGCAACAAGUUGCAAGGCAUCACAGUAUUUACAGAAAAAUCCAUAUUCUAUUUAUAAUACAUUGUUUCCACCUAUAUGCAAUAUCUCAAUCCUAAUCAUUUUGGUUCAAGCCACUAUCAAUUGUGGCUUGGAUUACUAGAUUACUUCUUCAUUAUUUUCUUUUCAGUUAUUUCUGUUUGGGGAGUUUUCUGUAAAAGAUAAAUGACAUCACUCCAUUCAAUAUGCUUCAAUGAUUUCCAUUGCCUCCAAGAAUAUUCAGAUGUUUAACAUAGCCAAGAGGUCCCAUAUUAAAUGCUAAUUGUACCAUGUUCCAGAAUAAUGCAAAGCUCUCCAACCUCCAAAUUCCCUAAAGCCUCUGUGUAGAGAGGUGUUUUUUUGUUGUUGUUGUUUUGCUUUUUAGGGCUACACCAUGGCAUAAGGAAGUUCCCAGGCUAGGGGUUGAAUGGGAGCUGCAACUGCCAGCCUAUGCCAUAGCCAUAGCAAUGCAGGAUCCAAGCCACAUCUGUGACCUACACCACAGCUCGCUGGAUCCUUAAUCUAUUGACUGGGGCCAGGGAUAGAACACACAUCCUCAUGGAUCCUAGCCAGUUUGUUACAGUGAGUCACAACAGGAACUUCCUAGAGGGCUUCUACUCUUACUCGCCAGGCUACUAAUAUCCACUCAUCUUUCAAGUGUUAAUUAAUUAAUUAAUUUAUUUUUUAUUUUAUUUAUUUAUUUAUUUUUGGUCUUUUUGCCUUUUCCAGGGCUGCUCCCGCAGCAUAUGGAGGCCCUAAAAAGCAACAAAUAAACAAACAAACAAAAAACAAAUCUGUAAGUGAGGAUACUAGUAUUGCUAUGUAUUAGCUAUAGAAUUCUUAAAUUAUAUUUUAUUCAUU
rnacentral:lncRNA from 1 species